rnacentral:rRNA from 1 species
AUACGUAGGUGGCGAGCGUUGUCCGGAAUUACUGGGCGUAAAGGGCGUGUAGGCGGGGGGACAAGUCAGAUGUGAAAUACUGCAGCUUAACUGCGGGGCUGCAUCUGAAACUGUUCUUCUUGAGUGUCGGAGAGGAAAGUGGAAUUCCCAGUGUAGCGGUGAAAUGCGUAGAGAUUGGGAGGAACACCAGUGGCGAAGGCGGCUUUCUGGACGACAACUGACGCUGAGGCGCGAAAGCGUGGGGAGCAAACAGGAUUAGAUACCCUGGUAGUCCACGCUGUAAACGAUGGAUACUAGGUGUAGGAGGUAUCGACCCCUUCUGUGCCGGAGUUAACACAAUAAGUAUCCCGCCUGGGGAGUACGGCCGCAAGGUUGAA